CGGGGCGUGGCGCAGUUGGUAGCGCGCAUCGUUCGGGACGAUGAGGUCGCUGGUUCAAGUCCAGUCGCCCCGA
rnacentral:tRNA from 1 species